UGAUAUGUCGGUGCCGCGACUAGUCAAUCACCGAAAGUAUAUUGAAACAAAAGCAAAACAAUUUUGGAGCCAAAGGAAAUUGAGAAGUUAAAAGCUGAAACUUGUUUAUGUAGUUUCUGUUCUCGCUCAGUAGAGCUGCACAUACACAAGUACACAACACAGCAUUUCCUAGUUAAACUAAUCUCUCCCAGAAAGAAGGCCAGAACCCCUAGGCAUCUACAUCUUCGACAUGAUCGCAGUGGUGGGACCUUUCACAGGAGGCGCACUGUCAACACAGCACAACCUAGUUAUGUGUCCUACGGUGCCACGCCGGCGCGCGCGCAGCUCACCGCGCCACGGCGGCGCGACGCGACGAUAGCAGGUGCCAGAACGACGGCGUCCAGAACGGCGGCGCCCGGUUCCGGCGCUCCGGCACGGUGGACGCCCCGGUGGCCUCCAAGCCCAGCAUGUCCCACAUCACCUGGACGUCGUGGUACCCGCAGGUCUGCACGUCCCUGUGGAGGUCGACGAUCCCAGCGCUCUCUGCAUUGCAGAAUGUGCAAAGAAAAGGAAGUGUUAGUGCGGAGCACUAGUGACCGGACAUUUUGGAAAGAGAAGAUAAAUCCCUAAAUUGACCGUGUCAAGAACUCAUGAUCAUCGUUAACGAGGAUUAGUGAAUGGAAGGGGUAGUUUUGCGUGUCGUUUGUAGAUAAAGGAAUGGGUCCUCCACUCCUACUAGGGGCGGCAGAACAGAAGCAGUGCCAAAUGGCUCCUUUUAUGCUAGGACGAGAGUGUUGACAAACUGGAAAAGAUUAACAAGUGGAGAGCCAUAGUAAUUUACAAGGUACUAAUUGGCUAGGCCAGGGCUCCAAGGCAAGGCAGAAACUGAACAUGUAUGGCCAAACAAAGCCGUUGAAAGCAAUGGGGUGCGUCGAAUUACUGGUGGUCUCCAGAGAUGGGCUUAGUAUAGGAGUGUCCGUCCUUGUCGCUUCUUGUUGAAAGAUAAAAUCUUUUGACACAGUUUGGGCCUGUUUAGUUCCCCUAAAAUCCUAAUUUGACACUAUGCAAAAAGAAGAUUCUCAUCACAUCAAAUUUGCGGUACAUGCAUGGAGUACUAAAUGUAUGGGCCUGUUUGGUUUCUUUUGCUUAUUUUUAAGCAAGUGUCACAUCAAUGUUUAGGUACUAAUUAGGAGUAUUAAACGUAGACUAUUUACAAAACUCAUUACAUAAGUGGAGGCUAAACAGCGAGACGAAUCUAUUAAGCCUAAUUAAUCCAUCAUUAGCAAAUGUUUACUGUAGCAACACAUUAUCAAAUCAUGGACUAAUUAGGCUUAAUAGAUUCGUCUCGCCGUUUAGCCUCCACUUAUGUAAUCGGUUUUGUAAAUAGUCUACGUUUAAUACUCCUAAUUAGUAUCUAAACAUUCGAUGUGACGGGUGCUUAAAUUUAAGCAAGUGAACCAAACCAGGCCAAAAUCAAAAACUAAUUGCACAAUUUUGUUGUACUUUGCGAGUUGAACCUUUUGAGCCCAAUUAGUCAAUGUUUGGACAAUAAUUCAUAAAUACAAACGAAAUGCUACAGUUGCGUAUUUAUAGCAAAGUUCAAACUUUGCCACCCCUAAUUUGGGAACAAGAUCUAUUAGGAAACUAAACAAGAUCUUGAUGUCCAUCAGAUUCUUGGGACGAUCAAAAUGUUGAGGAAGCAGCUAGAUCGUACUACGAAGCAACAUGUGUCUGAGUGUCUCUGCGAUUCUGCAAAACUCCUGCAGCAUUGCGCAUCGAAUUUUCCGUGUACGACCAACUUCUCGAAACAGAAUUGAACUUUUUUGAAAAACAAAAAGAAUUAAACUAUGGCGCGCCAACUGAAUCAUCACUAGCAUGAUUCCUUCUGUUCCUGUUUCUCUUGGUCGUCGCCCAGAUCGAUCGAGGAAUGCACGUGGAGGAAGUGAUCAACGGAGAACACAAGGAGACGAGGCGGAUUUUCGAUGAGCAGGCACUUUUUUUUUUUGAAACGCGAUGAGCAGACACUUACCGGCACGGCCCUUGCUGCGCCCGCGGAGGCGCCCCGCGACGACGGCGAGCCAGGCGCGUCGCGCCGGCGCGACCACCCGCGCGCGCCACCACGCCAUGGCGCGCCCCCCGGCGACCCUCGGCGCCGCCCCGCGCGGCUCCGCCGGCCGCCGGGCACGGCCUCCAAGCCUCGCCGUGGCUCCUCCUGACCGACGGCGCGCGCACGCUCGGCUCGCGCCCAGGCGCGCGACCUGACCAGCGCUCGUCGCCUGACGCAGAUGCACGGCUUCUGCACACUUCCUUCCGC
rnacentral:lncRNA from 1 species